GCCAGUGUGGCAGAGUGGUUUGAGUGUUGGACUACAAAUCUGGAGACCAGGGUUUCAUUCCCAGCUGGGCCA
rnacentral:tRNA from 1 species